rnacentral:lncRNA from 1 species
GCUUGGCAUGUUUGAACGUAAAGAUAUAAAAGAUUUAGAAGAAGAAGCUGGAGAAAGAGGCAGGAGCCAGGCAAUGGAAAAUUCAGUAAGUCAGGAAAGAAGUUUCAGUUUUAUUCUGAGUGAGGGAGCAUCAUGGGAGGAUCUGACAACAUCCCUUGACGUGAUCUAUUUACAUUUUAGAAAGAAUAUGCUGGCUGCUGGGGACGAAUACAGUGAGGAGCAGCAGUGGACUGGGGAGACGGACUAGGAGGUUAUUACAGUCAUUUCGAUGAGAUAUGGCCGCCUGAUGCCAGUGGUAGUAGAGGAAAUGGGAGAAGCAGGCAGAGCUAGGGUGUGCUUCGGAGGAAGCCUUGACAGUUCCUGAGGUCGGUUCUUUGGGAACACAUCUAGUGUCCACAGAAGUGGGAAAGGGCCUGACGCUGGGGACUCCCUUCACAUCAAGGAGAAUUGCUCUGGAAUGCUGUGGCCCAUUUCACCACCCAAGUGUAUCUGAAAAAUGAACGUCUGAGUGCUGGUAACAAAGAAGUGGGCCAGAUAGACCAAUCACCAAAGCCCAGGAGAAGAAUAAUGAGAGAAAGCUUCGGAACUCUCCCAGACAGAGAAGUGAUGCUGAGAAGAUACGAGCUGGUAGGAGGCCUAGG